GUUUUUCUGAAUCAGGAGUUGGUUGCUUGGAAUGAUUAAUAUUUAAAUAUGCUGUUUUCUCCCAGUUGAAACUAAGAUGGGAAUAACAAAUCGGGAAAAAGCACAUUGAAAAUGUGCAAAACGACCAUGCCUUGUGCAUUAUGUCCUGGGUUUGGUGUAAGCUGUGCUGUUCUGAAUUGUUUAAAGUGUGUUAUUUCCCUUCACAAAUGAGACAGUGAGCAGAGGUCUGGUUUGGAGGAGGAAGCGGGGCCAUGUAGGUCAAAGGAUACAAAGCGCAAACAUGUGGGAUGAACCAGUGGGCAACUCUGCAUUAAAGCACGAGGACGGCAGGGUGUCUCUCCAUCUCCCUGAGUUCUGCUGGAAGCACUGUGUAAUCAUCACCAAUGGACAUGAAGACAUGAACCAGCGUCCGGGCCACAAGGUACUAACUUCCCAGCCACAACCACAAGCUCCUCCCAGGUCAGAACAGGACUGAUGAACCAUCAGCAAAAGCCCUCAGUAAGAACCAGUUGACGACUUAAAAUUUACAAUAAAAAAUUCAACAUUUCAUUAUUAUUUGUGAAUUGAAUGCUUCGCAUCACUUAUAUCAGUAAAAUCUGCAAUAAAUACAUGUACAUACAUGAUGCAUACUUUUAAAAACCCAAAACCAGUUAUUAAAAGUACAGCACAUCAGUAAGUUAAAGCAAACUCAGAGCUCUAUUCCUCAUAUUACAUGUUCUUUCAUUUUUCUGUCUAGAAUCAUGCACAUUAUAAAAUUAAUUUUAAAUAAGUUGACACCACAUAG